GGGCCUGUAGCUCAGCGGUCAGAGCAGGCGGCUCAUAACCGCUUGGUCGCAGGUUCGAAUCCUGCCGGGCCCA
rnacentral:tRNA from 1 species